rnacentral:lncRNA from 10 species
GGAGGGGCUUUGCCAUGUUGGCCAGGCUGGUCUUGAACGCCUGACCUCAGGUGAUCCACCCACCUUGGCUUCCCAAAGGGGUGGGAUUACAGGCGUGAGCCACUGCGCCCAGCCUAUUUAUUUUUUGAGACAGGAUCUUGCUCUGUCACCCAGACUGGAGUGCAGUGGUGUGAUCUCGGCUCACUGUAGCCUCUACCUCCUGGGGCUCAAGUGAUCCUCCUGCCUUGGCCUCCCAAAACACGGAGAUAACAGGUGUGAGCCACUGUGCUCCCUCUUUUAACACCUCUUGCUUUCUUUUCUCUCUGUCACCCAGUAGGCACCUCUGACUCAGCUGUGCCCCAUAACAUCUUCCUGUGAGCAAAGGGCUCCCCAGAGGCAGGUCACCUGUACCCUAAGAGGAAACAGCAGAAUGUUGCCGUCCGCGGCAGGAGAUCGCACUCGGCCCCUGGAAGUGGACCUCAGUGGGUGGCCUGCCCUGACAGGGAAGGGCGUGAGGGGGAAGGACAUGGCCCAGAGCAAGCCACAUGAGAAAAAUUACAAUAAAGUAUGGGACAUCCGCUGGGGACAGGGAGCAAGCAACAUGGGGCCACUGAGGGAAGGAGGUGACAAGGUGGGAGCCAAGGGACAGGGGUCCUGGGGUCUGAAUUUUCCUCAGCAAGCAAGUGGGAGCCAGCAAUGGUUGUAGAGCAGGAGAGUAGUGGGUCUGGACUCAUAGAGCAGCUUGUGGCUCAGGGGAGGUAGGAGGGUUAGCUGGUUCCCCAGAGCCUGUGUGGGUGAUGGGGGGGAGGGAACUGAGGCAGCAGACCAGAAGUGCUCCUGCACAUUCCCCUGCCUGCCUACCUUCUUUUGUCCCUCCUUCCUCUCCCUCCCUCCCAACAAUGCUUUCUGAGCACCCAGGAACCUGCUGGGUGCUGGGAGGACACGAUGGACCCUCGAGAAGGCUGCCCGAGGCUCCAGGCAGGCAGAGUGCAGACCCAGCAGCUGCAGCCUCGGCUGUGGGGAGCAACAAAGGCGCCUGAAACCAGGCCGCCCACAGGAUGUUGGAAACCACAGGGCCCGGUAAAAGUGGAAUUGCUGGGUCCUGCAGUCAAUCUACGGUUAACAUUCUGGAGAACCACCCUGGUCCAAUCUUAAGGCAUGCCGAUACUUGCUGAAUGAGUUGUGGCCUUUGGAGGUGCCGGCUCCGUGUUCUGGAGAAGGGUCCACAGAUGUGGAUUUUUAACACAUGCCCAGGUGAGCACUGGAGCCAGGCAAGUUUGGGAAACACUGACUUACUGGCUGAGAAGUGUAGCAUGAGAACCAGCCCGGCUCUCCUCCACUGUGGAGGGGAGUCUGGAAGGCAGCGGAAGUGUCAUGCCUCAGGUCAGCAGGCAUUCAGAGGGCAGCCCCUGGGUCUCAUGACUGAUCUUCCCACCCUCUUAGUGUAAAAUAGUAACAAAGACAGUCCCCUUCCCCAGCUCUCCUGGCUACUCACUGGGUGUCUCUAACCCUUCG